rnacentral:rRNA from 1 species
AAUAAUUUAUUUGAUGGUUUCUUACUACAUGGAUAACUGUAGUAAUUCUAGAGCUAAUACAUGCGUAAAGUCCCGACUCUCGCGGGGAGGGAUGUAUUUAUUAGAUAAAAAACCAAUACGGGCUCUGCCCGGUUUUGUGGUGAAUCAUAGUAACUUUUCGAAUCGCAUGGCUUCACGCCGGCGAUAGUUCAUUCAAAUUUCUGCCCUAUCAGCUUUCGACGGUAGUGUAGUGGACUACCGUGGCGUUAACGGGUAACGGAGAAUUAGGGUUCGAUUCAGGAGAGAGAGCCUGAGAAACGGCUACCACA